AUAUUGAGUUGAAGUGGAGAUACAGAAGCUGAUGGUAGAAUUGAGGUUUGGAUGACUGAUAUCUUACAAGUGUGAGAUUUUGGUUUUAUCUAAAUUAUUAUUUUCAAGUUUCGAGGACGAAACUUUAAAUAAGGGUGGUAGUAUGUUAUAGCCCUGUAUUGAAGAGCGUUUAUUUAAACGUUAAAUAUAAUUAUUGAGUUAAUUAUGUUGCGAAAUUUAUUAUUUUAUUUGAGUUGUGGAGUUAUUAUUAUUAUUAUUUUAUAUUUUCGGAUUUUAAGUUUGAGGUGAGUGGUAUUUGGCCAAAUAAGGAAAUUAUAGACGGUCUAUUUUCUUUCCCUUGUCGGUUUAUAAAUUGCAAACCCAAAAAAAACAAAACCCAUCUUUAUCUCGAACAUCCUCGUCAUUUCUUAGUGAAACCCAAAACCUCAACACCUAGCCAUUUUCUCUCUCUAUCCCUUCGCUCCUUCGGCCGUUGUCGCCAUAACCACCGACGCCCUCGCCGGAGUUCCCUUGCUGCUCGCCGGAGCCGCGCUCUCUUUCCCCCUUCGUGUUUUCUCCCUCCUCUGUUCGUGUUCGGCGUUGCUUUGCUGCUCGCGUGCUGUCGCGAUGGUGAUGCUGGUGGUUGCGUGGUGGUGUUGUUCCUGUUCGCUGUUGUUUUGCGUCGCACCGCCUGUUCGCCGCUGACAGAUCCGCGUCGCUCCACGAACUACGGCGAAUCGUCGGAGCUGUGCUCCCUUGUUUCUCCCUGCUCUGUUGAGCAGAGGUAAAUCAACCUCUUUCUUGUCCUCUUGAAACUCUGAUUUCCAGUUUUGUUUAGCCUAAGUUGCUGUUGUGUUGAUGCGCGGUGUCGGUGUUGGUGUUAUAUUAUUGUUGGUGAUGGCGAUCUUUGUUGUUGAUGCUGCGUUGUAGAGGUUGUUGUGGGGGUGGAUGUUGCUAUUGUUUGUUGUUGCUAUUAUUGUUGUCUGUUGUUGUUGUUAGUGUUGUCGUUGCUACUCUUUUAGUGGGUUGUGGUGUGUGUUGUGAUGGAAGAAACAACCACACUAAGGUUUCAAUUUCUUAAUGGAUAAUGGUAUAAUUAAGUUGUUUUAUUUUCAUAGUAUUAAAAUUAGUUGCUUGCUUGUUUAGGGAAGUUAUUGAUAGAGUUAAGUUUGUUUAGUUUGAUUAAGUUAAGAGUUAUAGUUCUUAAUUGAGGAUAAAGGAAAUUAGAAUGAUAAGUGGAGGUAAUUUCUAAAUUGAGAAUUGGUUAUGGAUUCACUUUGUAGUUUAGAUUAGUUUAAGGAUAGUUUUAAUUAUCGUUAUUGUUAUGAGGUGAAUUGUUGGAGAACGAUUAUGGAGUUUAAGUCUCAUUUGGAGAUGAAGAUUAAUGAAAGAGGUUUUAUCGUUCAGAAUUGGAUAACGCUUCAGGUUCGGUAUCAAGAGCUCGAGAAUGGAAGUGAAGCAAGAUUAUGAUGUCGUCCUAGAUUAAGGAUUGAGCUUGUCUCUAGUUAGUUGAUUUGAGAAUAGUUAUUUAUAUUUCGUUGUAUAUAAUAUUUGGGAAUUUUAGUCGAGAUAUUGGUGUAAUUAAGGAUAUUUUCUGCUGCGAUUUAUUUAAUUAAGAUUUGGAUUAUA